rnacentral:rRNA from 1 species
GGGGGGGGGGGGGGGGGGGGGGGGGGGGGGCAGGGCGGGGGGGCGGGCGAGGAGCUUGCUUCUCGGAUGUUAGCGGCGGACGGGUGAGUAACACGUGGAUAACCUACCUAUAAGACUGGGAUAACUUCGGGAAACCGGAGCUAAUACCGGAUAAUAUUUUGAACCGCAUGGUUCAAAAGUGAAAGACGGUCUUGCUGUCACUUCUAGAUGGAUCCGCGCUGCAUUAGCUAGUUGGUAAGGUAACGGCUUACCAAGGCAACGAUGCAUAGCCGACCUGAGAGGGUGAUCGGCCACACUGGAACUGAGACACGGUCCAGACUCCUACGGGAGGCAGCAGUAGGGAAUCUUCCGCAAUGGGCGAAAGCCUGACGGAGCAACGCCGCGUGAGUGAUGAAGGUCUUCGGAUCGUAAAACUCUGUUAUUAGGGAAGAACAUAUGUGUAAGUAACUGUGCACAUCUUGACGGUACCUAAUCAGAAAGCCACGGCUAACUACGUG